rnacentral:misc_RNA from 1 species
AAGUCGUAACAAGGUUUCCGUAGGUGAACCUGCGGAAGGAUCAUUAUCAACGUAUCCACGUUUAUAAACCAAAUCGUGAAUUGUUUUAUUUGACCUUUGGGUUAUCAGCCGCUAUCAGUCGACACAUAGAGUUCAUUGUAUGGUUAUGGGCUCGUCCUGAUAAUUGAGGCUGUCUCUCCAAAGCGUAGCUAAUCAUACGUUAAUUUCAUUAUUAACCAAUUGAACCCCUUUUAUUUUUUAUACUUUGUUUGAACUGAUUUGUUUCUUUACUUGGCGCUUCACGGCGUCGAGAAGGAAAAUAAAUUACGAAACAAUGAUAAGAACAACUCUUAGCAACGGAUAUCUUGGUUCUC